rnacentral:rRNA from 1 species
UGAGGGGGGCUGCUCCUAGUACGAGAGGACCGGAGUGGACGCAUCACUGGUGUUCGGGUUGUCAUGCCAAUGGCACUGCCCGGUAGCUAAAUGCGGAAGAGAUAAGUGCUGAAAGCAUCUAAGCACGAAACUUGCCCCGAGAUGAGUUCUCCCUGACUCCUUGAGAGUCCUGAAGGAACGUUGAAGACGACGACGUUGAUAGGCCGGAUGUGUAAGCGCAGCGAUGCGUUGAGCUAACCGGUACUAAUGAACCGUGAGGCUUAACCUUACAACGCCGAAGCUGUU